AAUACAAAACAAAAUAAUGUGAAACACUAUUGUUCACCCACAAAAUGGAUUGGAAAAAAAAGUGACUGAUAAUGAUCAAGAUUGGUGAGGAGGUAUAGAAACUGGUGUGCUUAGAAACUACGAAAGUAUAAACUAGUUCGGUAUCUUUAAGAAGUUGGCAAUAUUUAUUUAAUAUAAAGAGCAUAUGCCACCAAUCUAGCAAUCUAGUAAUCCAAUAAUUCCACUUCUGAGGUUCUCUUUUACAGAAAUAUGCACAUGUGCACUUAAAGAUAUGAGUACAACUGUGGCACUGAUAGUGUGGGGGUUUUGAAGGGAAACUGACAUCUCCAUUAACUGUGAAAUGGCUAAAUAAAUCAUGGGAUACUAUACUGCUCAGUUUAAAAAAGGGAAUCUUGGUCUAAAUAUACUGGCAAAGAAAUAUGUCUCAUAUAUUCUUCACUGAAAGAAGCAAGCUUUAGAAUAGGUACAGUGGGAUCCAUUUCUGUAAUCCUGUGAUAUUUCUGUGUGUGUGUUAUAUUAUCAAUAUUUUGUACAUUGUUCUCAGUUUACUCCCUACUUCAAGGCACUUAGAUGGUUAGUAAUUUCUUGCUUUAGUGAUUUUUGCAGGUAGAAAAUAGAGGUCCUUAGAAGUCAACACAUUUGGUGAAGAGAUUAUAUUAAUAUUUGAAGGUAAGGUUUGAAGAUUAUACUAGGGUCUGAAGGUAAGGGGGAGGGAAUGCCUCAUCAAGAACUAGUCAGAGAUUUCUCUCCAAUAGCAGCAGAAGAUAGGCAUUUUGGCCCAGAGGAAGACUUGAUAUUGCCCCAGUGGUGGCUAACCUCAGGGAGGGUAAAACCUGAUGCGCCCUGGGGGACUGGAUCCAGGGAACUGGUAUCUGGUUGUCAAAGAUGUCAGUGUCUCUGCCUCCAAGGCCCAAUAUCAGCAGAGGCAGCCGACCUCAAGGGACCCUGUGGCCUCACACAGCAGCUGGUAAACUCAAUGGCCAGAACAGGACUCUGGGAAGUUUUUGCCACUCUGGAAGUAGGAAAGUCCUGGGAAUAAUGGAGGAUAGGGGCUUGGAUACAGAUUUAAUUUGACUAAAAUAAUGAUAAUAAAGGGAUGCAGCAUUUCAUGUGACAUCUGAUUUGGAAGAAAGAAGCCUGCAUGUUUCCAAAUACCCAGAGAAAAGUUUAGAGAGGUGGAGUACAUAGUGGGCAUCUUGGGGAGAGAAGAUAUACUGCUAGAAGAGAAAGGCAGAGACUUUUAGUCUCACUUUCAUACCUCUUUCUUGUUUGAAUUUUUGACAUUGAAUAUCUAUCUUUUACUCUUUUUUACAAUGAAUGAGCUUCCCAGUUCUGCAUGAUCCUAAGUCACCCCACCUCAGCACGACCACACUGCCUGGUCCCACAGACCACCUGUCCCUCUCCCUCAGGUCCCCAGCUCCCUGCCUCAGCCCUAACUUCUGAUCCAUCUUAGCCCUUCACUGACGAGCCAGCUCUCUGCCGGUCCUACCCACGUCACCCAGCCACCCAGCCCAGGGCUCUGGUCCAACUUCCUCAGCUGCUUUCUGCCCUCGUUGCUGCCACGGCAGCAUGACCUGUGGCUGCUGCCACCGUCCAAUGGUAGCUGGCAGUGUCCAAUCUCUGUGUUACAGAAAGUUGCCUGACUUGUUUUGACAACAAUUUGUUCCUAGUCUAAUCAAACCAGCUCCUUUUUAUUGCUUGGGAAAAACAGCAUCUGCAUGAGUAUUUCUGGAGCUUGUAUCAAGUCUCCUCUGCCAGAAGCUGUGACCCUGUGGGGUCUUGCAGUAAACUAAGGAGCUCAGUGACUAGUCUGGCUCCAGUCAGAGGGGAUUGUAUGAUGUCACUUGUAAGGAUGGAGAUCACUGGACUAGGAUUUGGCUGCCAGAGGUGGUGUCCUGUAGGAGAUUCUGUAGGAAAGAGCAGGCCCCCUUCUCCCAACUGCCGCACCUUCUCGUCUUGUCAAAGAACAGCACCGUGACCAACUGCAUGGCCUGACACCUGGCCACAAGUUUAGGCAGAGAGACGGGAGGGCUUGGUGUGACAUGGGCAAUUUUGCCUUUUGCUUAACCGUGUUUGUCCUGUGACAUUCCCUUCCAGCUUCUCUGAGUGAACCGUUUUCUUCUGGGGAUGUUCAGCCCAGCAUCUUGGGACUGGAGGUCCUCUUACAGCAAAGCUCCAGAAUCACACGGAUGCCACACCACCAACCAAGGACAGACCUCCUGAGAUGGGUCACGGGCAUGCUUGCUGUGUCUGAGGACCGGUGAAGAGCCAAGGAACGGAGGCGCAGAACAGGCAUUGUGCACGUGUGGCUCGCUCCCUCCAGCAUCCGGAAAAGUGCUCCUCAUUGUGUCCACUGGUUGUCCUGAUAUACAUCUCUGCGCAGAAUGCUGACGGAGAUGCUCCAAAGGAAGCAGGGACUCUCCACUCACACUUCAUGGGGCGAGACUAAAUAAACAUAAACACAUUCGAUCCGCAACCGCUGCUGCUCUGGACCAAGGUGUCCUCGAUCCUGUCACAGGGAGACCCCCUCACUGUGGCUCAUGGGCCAUAUUUUCCCACUGUGUGUCUUUAUGGAAUUUCUACUUCUUUGAUUACAGUAUUUAAAUAAGAAUGUAUCAAUGUCUUUCUGAUUAA